GGAGGUGGACGGAAGAUCGCCGGCGGACAUAAACCGUUCGCGGGAGGAAAGUCCGGGCUCCAUAGAGCAGGGAAGUCGGUAACACCGACCCGGGGCGACCCGAGGGAAAGCGCAACAGAAAUCACACCGCCGAAGAGCGGCGCCCUGCCCCGCAAGGGGCGAGGCGGCGUGGCGGGCGCCUGGCGUCCGCCCGGUAAGGUUGAAAUCGUGGGGUAAGAGCCCACGCGCGACAGCCGGGUGACCGGCGGCGAGGCAAGCCCUUCCCGGAGCAAGCUUGAAUAGGGGCACUGUCGAGGACGGCUCGUCCGAUUGCACGCUCUUCGGAGUUUGCGGAGUGCCCGGGUUAGAGUGCUUGAGCGCCGUGGCAACACGGCGCCUAGAGGAAUGAUCUUCACCGGAUCGGCGGCAACGCCGGAUCGGGACAGAACCCGGCUUACAGUCCACUCGGCUC
rnacentral:RNase_P_RNA from 1 species